rnacentral:ncRNA from 1 species
GAAUGGUGGGCCCGCGCUGGUUCCUGUCCUACGACAGGCGAAGAGGGAAUGCGAUAGGGCUCAGGUUCGGGCCCGAAGCGCAGCCGCCCCCGCGACCGUGACCGGAGAGAUGUCCAAGGCCACUGAUUUCCACGGAAAUCGGGAAGGCGGGGAUCGAAGGGCGACAGCCUGCUCCGCAAGCCGGGAGACCUGCCAGUGCAGCAAUUGAGAC